AUUGAACGCUGGCGGCAGGCCUAACACAUGCAAGUCGAGCGGAUGAAGGGAGCUUGCUCCUGGAUUCAGCGGCGGACGGGUGAGUAAUGCCUAGGAAUCUGCCUGGUAGUGGGGGAUAACGUCCGGAAACGGGCGCUAAUACCGCAUACGUCCUGAGUGAGAAAGUGGGGGAUCUUCGGACCUCACGCUAUCAGAUGAGCCUAGGUCGGAUUAGCUAGUUGGUGGGGUAAAGGCCUACCAAGGCGACGAUCCGUAACUGGUCUGAGAGGAUGAUCAGUCACACUGGAACUGAGACACGGUCCAGACUCCUACGGGAGGCAGCAGUGGGGAAUAUUGGACAAUGGGCGAAAGCCUGAUCCACCAAUGCCGCGUGUGUGAAGAAGGUCUUCGGAUUGUAAAGCACUUUAAGUUGGGAGGAAGGGCAGUAAGUUAAUACCUUGCUGUUUUGACGUUACCAACAGAAUAAGCACCGGCUAACUUCGUG
rnacentral:rRNA from 1 species